CAUAUGUGAACAUACCUUUUCUAGCUGCUUUGGCAGGCCUUUCGGGGUCUGCCGGUAGCAUUUAAAAACUCUUUAUAUUUCUAUAGAAUUAUUCAUUGCUGAGUGGCAUUAACUAAAUAAGUUAAAACUUUCAACAACGGAUCUCUUGGCUCUAGCAUCGAUGAAGAACGCAGCGAAAUGCGAUAAGUAAUGUGAAUUGCAGAAUUCAGUGAAUCAUCGAAUCUUUGAACGCACAUUGCGCCUGGCAGUAUUCUGCCAGGCAUGCCUGUCCGAGCGUCAUUUCACCACUCAAGCUCUGCUUGGUGUUGGAGGACCCGCGUUACCGCGGGCCGCCGAAAUGCAUCGGCUGUUGUAUUUGCAGCUUCCCUGUGUAGUAAUGCUUAGCUUACACUUUGAAGCUCUUAUAUGACAUGCCGGUAAACCCUCAAUUUUUGAAAGGUUGACCUCGGAUCAGGUAGGAAUACCCGCUGAACUUAAGCAUAUCAAUAAGCGGAGGAAAAGAAACCAACAGGGAUUGCCCUAGUAACGGCGAGCGAAGCGGCAACAGCUCAAAUUUGAAAUCUGGCUACUUUGUAGUCCGAGUUGUAAUUUGUAGAGGAUGCUUUUGGUGAGGUGCCUUCCGAGUUCCCUGGAACGGGACGCCAGAGAGGGUGAGAGCCCCGUACGGUUGGAUACCAAACCUUUGUAUAGCUCCUUCAACGAGUCGAGUAGUUUGG
rnacentral:misc_RNA from 1 species